AUGGUUCUCAACGCCAGGCGGGGCUCCACGCCGCGCCCCUCCGCCCAGCGCCUCGUCGGCCCCCGCGACCCCAGUCCUGGGCCCUGCCCGCGCCCCCGCGCCGCAGCCUCGUCGCCUCCACUGCAGCACCCCCGCCCGCCGCCGCCGCUGCGGUCCCCAGGCGCAGCCGGGAGGGGCCCGGGCGCCAACGGAGGCGGCCGAGGACCCCCGCCUCGACACCCCGCGCGGCCGCGACCCUGGUCCCCACUCCCCGGGGCCAAGGACGGCCGCCCAGCACAGGCUUACCCGGCAGGCGGCGGUUCCUGCGCUCCGCGCCCUCCGCAAUGCGCGCCGCGGUUCUGCCGCCGCGGUCCCGGCGCUGGGCGGCGCUCGGGGGCGCUCGGCGGGGCUCGCUCUCGGCGGCGGCGGCUCGGGAGCUUCUGUCCAAGGUUCUGCAGGCGCCGCGGCCCCGCCCCCCGCUCGGCCGCCCGCACCUUCGCCGCCGCCACCGCCGCCGCCGCGCUCGCGCUCCCGCUCCCGUUCCCGGCGCGCGCUUCAGCGCCCUCCCUCGCCGGGCGCGCGCACCGUCCACGCGCCGGCCUGGUCUUGCCGGGGAGCCGCGGCCGUGAGUGUCCUCAGCUCUGGCCGCGCACGGUGCGGGUAGAACGCGGCGGCGAGCGGGAGGCCUCUAGGCGCCGGGCCCCAUCUAAAAGCAAGACUCGGCGGCAGCAGCGGGACACGGGGCGCUCGACCGCCCCGCCCCUCGGGGCCGCCCCUCCCGCACAGCUCACCGCCCGCUCUGCGCCGCCGCCCAGCAGCAGCACCGCCACCGAGUCCUGGGCGCCCGCACAACCCAACUCUGCCGACGCGGGGCGGACGCCACGCAGGGCGGGGCCGAGAGCCGACCCCGCCCGCGCCCCGCCCAGACACGUGCUGCCUUUGUUCCCGCCGCGGCGCCCGCAGCUGCCGGCCGCGGGGGAGCUCUCGGCUAAGUCCCCGCCCUGGCCGCGGGCGGCCCGCGGGCUCCGCCGAGGAAUGGGCCCCUAG
rnacentral:lncRNA from 1 species